UGGACUUGCUCCUUUCUAGGACUGCAGAGAUAGCAGCAGCCCUUGCCUUGGUUUUAGGAGUGUCUGACAAAAAGACACCAGGGUUGAGAGUGAAGGAUGAAUGAUGUGCUUGUUCCUUUACUUGUUUUCUUUCAUUUCAGAUUGUUGAGCUGGUCACCAGGUUCAUCUGCUCCUGCUCUCAGACCCAGGCUUGUGCAACCAGAGAUUAUGUGGGAGUCCGCACAGACAGGAGCUGUGCUGCAGCAGUUUGAGGUGAUUUCUUGUGAGCCUCCUGACUGCUUCAUAUUCCUUUUACUUAAUUGAAGGAGACCUUCAAUUCCCCCAUCUCCAUCUUCUUUUUGUUUCCCUGGGGCAUAAGCCAUAGGGAAACAAAGAAAGAAGUGGCUACAGCAUGUGGAUAUCAAGGUGUAUCAGGUAACUCCUUGUUCUCCAGGUACUUACAGUUGGCACUAAAGUACUGGUCUUGUGACUUUUAUCUUUAAGAAAUAGUGCUUUGUAGUUUAUAUGCCAAGAGUUGGAGCACUCAUUGCUUAACUUUUAUUUCUCCUGAUCAUAGCAAAAUUUCUCAGAUAAUAUUUUGCAGUUCAACAGUGUUUAAUAAUCUUUCUGGUUAAGCUGAUUAAUCCUAGUUGGAUUUACAAAUCCAGGGAGGAAAAUCUGCCAAAGAUUCAUAGCAGAGUAUUUCCCAACUACUUUUGUGUGAAGACUGUGAUUAUUUUUUUCUCCUCCACAGACACAUCUUGUGGAGUGAGCUCUGAGGAAAUAGUAAUCUCAUAAAUGAACCGUAGUCAGCUGAAGGGAUUGAAGGAAACCAAACCAUUCUGUGGUUGACAAAGAGAUAUGGGAUUUUGUAUGGGUAUAAAUCUGCUGCUGGAUUUGAGCUUCCACAUUAGCUGGAUGCUAGUUCUACAAAUAGAGUCAUUGUCCCUAUUAGCAGUUUCAAUUAGUGGUUUUGUUAUAGAAGAGAAUAUUUAGACAACUGAUACUAGACAGACUAAACUUCCUCUUCCACUGAAGUACUUGUAGGAAGUGGUACUUCUGAAGUGUGUGCGCUUCUGUUCAAGUUUAUCCAUCUUCUGGAAAACCUGGAGGCUUGAGGCCCUAGGUCUAUCCAAACAACUUCAGCAUCAUUCUUCUGCUACUUUUCUUGUCUGUAAACUCAUAAGGAUGCACGAAGGUUGAAAUCCAAUUGUCAAAUAGGAAAAGGCUGAACACAAGAUUUCUCGAUAAGGGUUCUCUUCCAUGCACCUGUUUGCAUGGUCACGUUGUCUGCCUUGAUGAUAAAAUCUUUUAAACACAGUAU
rnacentral:lncRNA from 1 species